CUUCCAAAGCUCCUUCCUUCAGCUGGGUGAGCUUUCGCUUUUUGGAUCGUCUUCUGCCCAAUGCAGUACCCUCCCGUUUUUUGGUUCCCAUUGGGUUUACCUUGUUUAUAGGUUGACCCCAUGGCAACAAGAAAAGGUGAUCAUUAAUACGCCUUGGGGAAAGUCAUGCACCUGGCCGAUACGGAUAAAGGAAAGAUUCUCUCACCGAAAACAAGUAAACGAAAUAAUUACUAGUGCCUGAUCAAAAUGUCACGUAAAGUACUGCCUCUCCCGAAAGAGCUAAUCAGGAUAGUGAGGGAAGAAAGAGAAAGGAGUGGCUGUAAUUCGAAAACGGCAAAGAAUGCUUACUCAUUCAGCAAUCCUCGGCAAAAGAAGGAAGGGUCCCAGCUGGAAAGUCAAAAAGAGAUCAAGAUGGGAACAUCUCACUAAGCAGUGAGGCAUGAUCUUACCAAGUCUGUAGCUUUCUCACUCAUGCUUCACACAAAAUCGAGAUGAAAGAAGAUCAGACGUUGCACUGAAUCUCCGUAUCUUCUCGUCCUACUCUACUUUACUUUUACUAGGCAUUGAUU
rnacentral:lncRNA from 1 species